UCCUGAUGUUUUAUUCAAUCAGUGGCGCUGGUGUGGGAACCGCCCAAUCAGGUGCGCAGUUGGAGAAGAGAGGAGAAGAGGGCGUGACUUCCGGAGUUUGGUGGGACCUUUGUCUCUCUCUGGUGCUGGCGCAGGAGCUUGGAUUCCGUCUCCACUCUUGAGCCUCCUGCACUUUGGGAGCCCUGGGAAACUCCAUCACAGUCCCUGUAUGCCCUGUGUGCUGUAGAUCCUUGGGGACUCACAGUUAAGUUGCCCGGACGUCCUGGAAGCUGGAAAAUGAUUUCUUGCAGACCAUGGCUGGAGAAGUAAAGAAGAUUGUUGCAGUGUCAGGACCAAGGCCAAAUGAGUUAUAGCCAAGUCUAAAGUAAGAUGUGGCAGUAUUCUGUUUUGAAGGUGGGACCAUGAUAGGCAAGUCUGCCACUUGGUCAAGUGCUUACCCUCUGAAGAUGUCUUCCUUGGUCUUUGCCUCCAGGUGUGUGUCACAAAAUCUGAACUGGAUCCCAACGCUUUCAUAAAUGCACUUAUGUUUGCUGUGGCUGAUGCAUUAUGUUGUGGGUGAUGUGCAUGCAGGACCUCCCAUUCUGUCCUCUUGCUUAUGUUACUCUAAUUUGUGUUUCACUUUCUGAAAUGAAUGUCAAGCUUGUGAUUUUUAGAUUCAAAAGUUCUAAAAUAAAUUGCUCAAAUUUACACAUUAUGUAAGAUGUAAAUGAAAUUUCUUUCAGGUGCUACAUAUUUAUUAAAAUUAUUGGUUGUAAUUUUAAGCCCACUGUAGGCAGAAAGGAAUCAUUUAAAGUUAUAUUCUUUUUUUAGUCUGUAUCUAAAUGAUGGUAUAUUUUAAUUGCAAAUAUUUACUUUAUACUUCAGUAAUGCUCAUCAUAUUUUGCAAAAUUUAUGUUGUUCUUUUAAUUGAAAAUACAAAACAUUUUUAGCUCCUGAAAGCUAUAUUAUUGUCAUAUAGUUUUAUUACAUUUUGUGGUAAGAAUAGCAGCAACAUAUUGAGAACAUAAUAAAACUCGCUUGUCUUUUUAGUGCUUAUUUAUUAAAAUCUUCUCAUUAGAGCCUAUUGUUAAUGAUUGUAAUAUAUUUUCUGUCUAAUUUUACUGCCAUUUAUUAAACACCAAUGACUU